CCAGCCCACCACCCACCGAUGACUAACUUUUUGUGGUUUUGAAAAUUAUUUCACUGAGGAGGAGGUGGCAAUAGAGAAUCCUUUAAACGAAACCAUUGGAAUAUGUACAUUUUAAGCGGAUUGGGUACGUGUUUCAAAUAACGAAUGGCUCUUGUUUGGCCUUGUAAUGGCACUCCGGUAAUGCGAUUAUCCGCAUAUCAGCGAAACAAUAGAAAUUUAAUUUAAAUUUCAGCUUAACUAAUUAACUCUCCGAUACACAAAUAAUGAGCAUCGACAGGCAUAUCCUGCGGCUAUCCUGUUCUGUUCUGUCCUUAAAACCCUGUUCGAUUCAAUUUGGAUAUACAGUCUGACUGCACCCGUGGGGAUUUGUAAAUUCGGGAAAUGCGUAUAUUAUAUUUCGUAAUAAAGUUUGCAACUUUCUGCAUGCUC